rnacentral:tRNA from 1 species
GGCUCUGUGGCGCAAUGGAUAGCGCAUUGGACUUCUAGUUGACGAAUAGAGCAAUUCAAAGGUUGUGGGUUCGAAUCCCACCAGAGUCG